AUGGGCCCCAGGCUCCUCUGCUGUGUGGCCGUCUGUCUGCUGGGGGCAGAUCUCACAGGUGCUGGAGUCCUCCAGUCCCCCAGGCACAGGGUCACAGAGAGGGGACAGAAUGUGGCUCUCAGGUGUGAUCCAAUUUCUGGUCACACCGCCCUUUAUUGGUACCGACAGAACCCGACACAAGGCCCAGAGUUUUUGAUUUACUUCCUACGUGAGAAAGAAACAGACAAAUCAGGGGCACUUAGUGACCGCUUCUCUGCUGAGAGGCCCAAGGGCUCGUUCUCCACUCUGAGGAUCCAGCCCGCAGAGCAGGGGGACUCGGCUGUGUAUCUCUGUGCCAGCAGCUCAGCCAUAGUGUGGCACAGUCCCCUGCUCCCUGCCCACAAACCUCUUCCUUCUCUCUAG